GGCCGGCGGAACACAAACAAGCAGCAAGCCACGCUGCACGCCGAGAGUGAGAGACUGACAGAAUUCCGUUUCCGUCCCGUGGAAGACUGUUGGUUCCCGUUUGUCACGGGCCGUCAUCUUGCAUUUUUGGCAUCAGGCAAGCCGCCUCUUUCCGCUGUCAUCGGAUGCGGUCUCUUCUAUGUUAUCGACUUGGCGAUCACAUUCACAUCAGGUUAUCAGCGGAGCCGCCCGAUGACCCCUUUGGUGUUCGGGAUGUCUGUCAGACUUUGUCGCUGCUCUACUGUUAAAUUCGUCAUUGGAUGAGGGAGCUCCCCGAAAACCCAUCAUCAGAUGGCCCCUCCAAUUCAGCCAGCCUUGUGCCCUUGCGAAACCUUUCGCGACAGAACGGAAAUUGCCGUGGAGAUAGCCGUUUGAUCCCCCUGAUCAUCCAUUACCAAAGCGCAGGCGGGAUGAGAGUCUGGAGACUGGAGGGAGGAUGAUGAACCUGAGUGGAUCGGAGGCCCAGGGGGUCAAGAGGUGGUGUGGUGAAGAUGUUUUACCCCGCGUGUGAUAUGACUGUGAACGGACUCCCGUCGGACUUAUUGUUGCGCAGUACCCUGCGCUCGCUUAGUUGUUGUACACUAGUGUUGUAGUGUACCUGUAGGGAAGUUCCGUGUCUG